AUGUUAAACUUUUAGACAGACUCAUCAGGAAAAAAAAGGAAGGCUCAAAUCAAUAAAACCAGAAAUUAGAAAGAAGUUAAAACCAACACCAUGGAAGUAAAAAGACUUGUAAGAGACUAUCUCU